CGAGGUUUUUGGAUCGUAAACCCCUUUUGUCAAGGAAGAAGCUCUGACGGUACUUGACGAAUAAGCCUCGGCUAACUCCGUGCCAGCAGCCGCGGUAAUACGGAGGAGGCAAGCGUUAUCCGGAAUGAUUGGGCGUAAAGCGUCUGUAGGUGGCCAGCUAAGUCUGCUGUUAAAGAUCACAGCUCAACUGUGGGAAGGCAGUGGAAACUGGCAAGCUAGAGGUUGGUAGGGGUAAAGGGAAUUCCCGGUGUAGCGGUGAAAUGCGUAGAUAUCGGGAAGAACACCGGUGGCGAAAGCGCUUUACUGGGCCAGACCUGACACUGAAGGACGAAAGCUAGGGGAGCGAAAGGGAUUAGAUACCCCUGUAGUCA
rnacentral:rRNA from 1 species